UGUAAAGCAGCCGAAACGAUGAGCUUGUAAAGCCACCGUUUCCAUCAUUGCAACACGUGUGGUGGCAGUUUUUGGGUUGCGUCUGUCGGCAGCGAGAAGUAGCUCUGCGUAGCCACAGCUGAAACUGUGUCUACUUUGGGCAGAAGCUUUCCUCGGGUGUCUAGGCAACCCUAACCUCAGUGUCACGCUCAGCAAGAGGACGGGGAAGUGGGGGCAGGGCUGCAGUUCGCCGCAGCUCCGAAAAACAGGCCUUACGAAAACACGAGCCGGGAAACGCCCAAGGUUUCGAUUCCCCAUCCGGCAUAAUGAACCCUCUGACAGGUAAAGUAGAGCAGGGGCCAGCUUCACUGACGCAUCGAUGUGUGUGGAGAUAGCGAGCUGCAGGCAGGAU